rnacentral:rRNA from 1 species
GACGAACGCUGGCGGCGUGCUUAACACAUGCAAGUCGAACGGAAAGACCCUGCUUUUGUGGGGUGCUCGAGUGGCGAACGGGUGAGUAACACGUGAGUAACCUGCCCUUGACUUUGGGAUAACUUCAGGAAACUGGGGCUAAUACCGGAUAGGAGCUCCUGCUGCAUGGUGGGGGUUGGAAAGUUUCGGCGGUUGGGGAUGGACUCGCGGCUUAUCAGCUUGUUGGUGGGGUAGUGGCUUACCAAGGCUUUGAUGGGUAGCCGGCCUGAGAGGGUGACCGGCCACAUUGGGACUGAGAUACGGCCCAGACUCCUACGGGAGGCAGCAGUGGGGAAUAUUGCACAAUGGGCGGAAGCCUGAUGCAGCAACGCCGCGUGCGGGAUGACGGCCUUCGGGUUGUAAACCGCUUUCGCCUGUGACGAAGCGUGAGUGACGGUAAUGGGUAAAGAAGCACCGGCUAACUACGUG